AUUAGGGAGAGAGAAAAGGUUUUGAAAACAAAUCAACCAACCAACAUUGAGAGUGUGAUUAACAUUUUAAUUGGAUAACAGGUGGCGAUAUGAUAGUUAACAUAGAGGGGGGAAUAAGGGAACACGUUUUUUCUUUCAGUCAUUUUUUCGUUAUUAACCUCUAAUUAAAUUGGAAUAAACAAAUUAUAUUUGUGAUUAAGAAACCUAUCAAUUCCCUGUAAUUUCAUAAAUGGUUCAAUCUUAACAUCUUUCUUUCAAUAGUCCAAACAUUUGUUGUAAAGCUUGAGAAUAUCUUGUCUGGUUUAACGAUUAAAAACAACCCAAGAUCAAAAAUUGCUCCAAAUCGAUUCAAUGUUGACACGCUGAUAUUUGAAACCCUUUCCAAUGGUUAAAACUACCUGAGCAGAUGGUAUAAACUAUUACAUCAAUACUUGAAUCAUCGGCAAUCUGGAAACUAAAUUAAAGACGGAAUAAUUUAAAUUUGAAAAUAAAAUAAAACUCAAUCUGACUUCUUUAAGUCCUUUCAAUUAGCUUUGCUUUUUAAGGUUUUGUUUCUCUCGAAAAAUAACCUCAAUUGUCUAGAUUUGAACUUUGAUUAGUCCUCCACUUUCACCUCUCGAUGGAUAAAUUCAAAUUCACUUAUCAAUAUAUCUUUUAUCACAAUUAUUAAAUUCAUAUAAGGUCAAUCUUUCCGUUCGUAAACCUGAGUGUAUCGGUUUAGAUUUGUAUCGAGUAUCUUCCGUUGGGAUAUCGAUAUCUUCAAUCCUGUAAUCAUUACAAUGUAAUGAUGUGAAAGCGAAAGUGUCAUGUCAUUAUUACUGUCUCCAACCGUUCAUUUUAACAUCUUUAAUUAUCAACUUGUCUUAAUUUUUUGUCAUCACUUCUCAUCGUUGUUACAGUUUCUAUUAUUUAAAUCAUCUUUUCUCUCUCCUGAUGUCGAACUCAUUUUCAUGAAUGGUGCUUUCUAUUUCAUCUAAACGCUCUUUUUUUGCUCCAUUUGUCGCCUACUUAACAGUUUUGUUGUAUUGGACAUAAGCAACCAUGACAGUCAACAUGCUUAUUAAACACUCCAAAAUGGUUUAAAAUGUUUCAAUUUUGGUCGGUUAAAUGGCACUUAUCUGGACAAUUGGUCAUCAUCAUCAGUCGUCUAAUUUUGGAUGCAAAAGUACAAUACUGUGAGAUAUCAAUAGAGAGACGCUAUUUGACUUGAAAUGGUUGGAUUUGCUGUGUUUAUUAAACUGGAUGUGGUCAUUAGUUAUCAACAUUUAAAGGAACCACUUCCUUGUAAAAAGCCCAAAGAAGCUUCCUGAAGAAACAGUUAACAGUCAUAAAGAUGAAAUAAAACUAAAAUCUGGCCAAGUCAUGAUGAAAAGAAGCAAUGACAAUAAUAAUCCUGAAUAACAAUGAAAAGUAAUGAUAAUAGAAAUAUAAUUUAGUUAUUAUCAAAUGGUGAACGUGUGAAUAGGCCUUUAUUGAAAAUUUUCUGAAGUCUAUUAUCAUGAUGAAGACAUUAUCUCUAAAUGAAUCCCUAUGACUCUUGGAGGAAAAAUAAAUUACUGUACAAGAUGACCAUCAGCCAUCUGGAUCAUGUGAACACGAAAUUUGGAUUUACAGAAAUUAUUCAUUAAGGAUUGGAACCAGAGACUGGAAUGGUAAAUAAACUUGGUGGAGUUCAAUGUUAAUGCCAGGUCAACCGGAGGGUGCGGAUUGCACCAAAUUUCAUGGUUAAACAGUGAUAAUGGAUAAUUGUUUUUUCCAGAUAAUUUAUUCAUCAUUGAAGUUUAAUUGAUUUUACAUUGUAUUGAUUUUAAAAGCGUAAAGCGCAAUGAUUUUUAAAAUGCAAUUUAACCUGUCAAUUGUUUACCAGUUAUACUGUAAUUAAUUACUUGAUUAUUCUUAUACUUUUUUUGCACCAAUCCUUAUUAGUUUAUGUUUUACUGUAAAAUUGAGCUGAUGGUCAAAAAUAGGAAGCUAAUUUAUCCCCUUAAGGAUGGAAUCGGCCAGAAUUGAUUAAACUUAUCAAAAAAGAUGAAAAGAUGCUUUUCACAACCAAAUUCAAUCAUAUUUUCAACCUUUUCAUAUUUUAUUUUUUACCUUUAAUUAUACCAAUCAUCGUUAUUAUUAACCUUUAUUAACAUUUAAACAUAUCCAAUCUCAGCAACUGAUUAUUUACCUAUUUUAAUUUACUAUUGUUAUUAUGGUUAGUUGGAGUUAUCAUCAUUUUAAUAAUGUAAAUCAACUUCUUAGGCCUUCUCCUAUUGUAAUUUAUUAGCCAAGUGAAUUACACAUCUUAAUUAUAUUCCUUCCAAUUCUUCACUUGAUUUAUAUAGUUUUUCUUCCAACUCUAAAUCACCUUAACCUUCCUCCUGAAAAGUUAAUUGUUUUAACUUAAUAACUUUACCUUUAAUCUUGAAUGAAGAGGCCAAACUUAAAUCAACUCUAAUUGGGCAAAAUUAACAGCAAAACAAUUUCAUGCUUUUACCCUUAAAUAUACACUUACAUGUUUGGGUUUCCAUUGAAAGCUGCCCUUUAUGCUGUUUAGUUUUAUUCAACGUUAAGUCUUUCAACAUCUAAGGAUUGGCAUAAUUAUUGUUUCUCAUUUUCACUGGAUUAAUUUACAUUUGUUGUUAAAUUGUUUACAAAAAUAUCAUUAAUUUUUCACUAUUAGUAAUUUCAGUUUUUCAAUUAAUUGUUUAUUUUAAUUGUGUUUAAAUUUGAAUUAACCAAUCACUGGCAAGUUAUUUAACCGUUAAUAAAAAGCUUAUCAUGUUGCCAAUGCAACCAAGAAAGAUAAGGAAGCUCCAUUUGUUUACAUUCUGGUAACCCUUGAAAACCGUUUUUAUAUCUCAUUCUGGUUAAACCAUUAUCCAUUAAUCAUUUGGCACUGAUUAGCAACAUAAUGUUUCUUUUUAUUUUCUGUUUAUUAUCAAAUCUAUGGAUAGAAGAAAAAUUCUAUUGUUUGCAGAUUUCAGACAAAAGCUACGUCUGGUCAACAGGAAGAUAAGCCCUAAAAAACGUAACUUUGGAUAAGACAAGGAGCAACAAAAAAUAUUGAGAUGCUGUUGAUGAAGAUGAUGAUGCAGAAAAAAGGCCAGAAAAAUCAACAAGCAAUGUCAAGCAGAAAGAUGGUCAAUAGCGGAAUCUAAAAGCAAGACAACUUGAAAAAUAUCAUGAAAUUGAUGGGAUAAAAAUCAGUCCAAAUUGAUUAUGCUGAGAUGAUUUUAAUUGAAAAGCUCAAAAAAUGUAGCCCCAUUUGGAUUGAGUUUUCCUGUUUCUUUAUCAUGUUUCUUUUGACUGGUGAUGAUUGACAAUCAAAAGGCAAAGUAUUUCAACAAAUCAGGCAAAUCAACGAUUGGUUAAAUCAAAAAAUUGAAUAAUCAAUAGGAUUUCUCAAUUCACUUUCUCGAAAUUGCGACCGAUUGAUGCCGGAAAAAAAUUGAAUCAAUUUUUCUAUUGAAAUGGAUCAUUUUGAUGGUGCAAAUAAUCAAAGACAAAACGGAUUUUUCAACAUAAAGAUAUAACAAAAUCUCAUCUAAAAGUUGAAUCUUGUAUCCUGAAAUAACCAUAAUCCGAUAUGAAACAUGAUCAUCAUGGUACUGAAAUAAUGAAAGUGUCGGAUGAACAUUACUGAGUAGAUUCAUUGCCCGAUGUAUAAUUUUUACCCAUUUGAAAGAUUCAAGACCUUGUUAUGGAUCAAGACUGUCAUGGUGAACAAAAUGAGAGCCAACGUUGUUACAUGGUGUUCAUUAUGCGGAUAAUCUCAAUUAAUUGCAUUGAUGAUUGUUAAUGGGAAAAGCGUAAAAAUUGUAACUAAAACAUCUUCCUAUUUCAACCCUUUCGUGGCUAUGGUCCUGUUACAUAUUCAAUUUUUUCAUCAUUAAUGAUUUUUGAAGAUGAAAAGAUGUUAAUAAUGGUGUUUAAUGCAAACUAUUUGAGGCGGAAGUGUUGGAAAAACGGGUGAAAAUUAUGCUUCUCAUGGUAAACUUAAGACUUGAGUUUGGAUAAAGUAAAAAAGAGCUAUUCCAAUAUCAAUUGAAUUGAAUAUAACAAUAGUCUGGUCAAACAUGUUUAACUCUAAUAAUUGUUAAAUAAUCAACGGGAUAACCAAUGGACGAUAACGCAUCACUGCUGGUGAUCAUCGAUUAAGCUGUUUACAGAUAAUCAAAGUGAAGCAGAGCAACAUACAAAAUGAUGUUGAAUCGUUGUGAAGGGAAAACAAGGAAAACAAUUGAUUGCGGAUGAUGAAGACAAGCAAAGUUAACUCUUUACUCCUUGAAGACAAGAUAAACCAGAGAAAAAAGAUGUUGGAAAAAAGCAUAAAAAAAAGGAAAGGCAAGAAUAGACAAGGAAAGUUGAAUUGGACUGAAUGUGCUGAUGAUGAUGGCUUCUUUGUUUCCACCCUGGCUUUAGCUUAGAUAAUCAAUGAACCAUGGUCAGAACAGAGGUUGAUCAAGCUGAUUGGGUUCAAUAGAUAAAAGACAGCCUUUUUUCAUGAACUUUUCUCUCAUUGACUAUUCAACUCAAUGCAAUUUACAGUUUACCCGUUAAAUUUUACAGAAAAAAAACCUGAUUUGCCGUUGGAUUACACACUAUCUAUUGUCUAAAUUACUCAGGUCACUAACUUUGGAUAACCGUUGGACUAAGGCUAAUAUACAUAUAUCAACACACCAAAAAUUAAUUUACUUUUAACUAACAAUUUAUCUGAUUGUUGGACUCAUGGUUUAGUGUGAUUGUUACCUCGUUUAUUACUUUUCAACUGAUUUACAUGCACGUCUUACCAUCACAUUGAAAUUUUUAUAUCAUCAUUAUCAAUUAAGCCUGAGAAAAAAUAUUACUGAUAAUCUUCCUGAAAAGCAACCAAAUUAUCAGAGCUAUUUGACCAACUAAUUUACCCCAAAAGGAUAUGUUGAAGCAUUACAAUCAAUCAAGAUCAACAAUUCCAGUUUAAGAUGCUAAUCAAAUGGAGGAUAUCAUCUGUACUCUAAUCAAUUGCAACUGUCAAUUCACAAUAAUAAUGGCAAUCUUUUUGGCAAUAACCUUCAAAUUGUUAAAGAUAAUUAUAAUGAUUGGAAAAGAUUGAAUUUAAAACACAAACAAUACCCAAAUAAGGUUGGAUAUUGGUUAAUCAAUGAUGACCUGUUGAUAGUGAAAAGAAAUCGAUCAAGCUGGCACUUUGAGUGUAACUAUUAAAUCCAUUUAUAUCAAUAAUCUAUUCAUAUAUAUUUGGAAAUAUGAAUUUUUAAUUCAACAAUUACAUUAUUUAAAGCGAGGUCAAGAAUGGAUUAAUAUCGCCAAUCCAAGGUCCUAAACAACUGAUUGUAAUAUUUACAAAAGCAAUACAACAUUACAACAUUACAACAAUUUAAAAUUACCUUUGAUUGUUCAACUUUUCACCAUUUUUCAAAUUGCUUGAUGCUAUUAAUCAACAUUUGGAUUCACUGAUUAAUAGAGAUACAACAAUGCAAGAUGAUCGUUAAUCAAAAUGGCUCUAAAUGUAAAAAAUGAAAGGAAAGAUAAUUUGUUACCAGAAUAUCAUUUGGACUUGGACUAGUGGUUAAAAGCUGUCACAAAUGAAAGGGCAAUCCGUUAUUGCCUUGGGUCAAUUUAUUUUUAAUAUCAUCAUGAAAAGUUGAUUAGCAACAACAUUUAAACCUGAUGAUCAACAAUCCUCAAAGUAAAAGUAACAAGGUUCUUGGCCUCAUCCUCAUCACCAACUUUCCUUAACUUUCAUCUCAACUCUCAUCACCAUCCUCAUCCUGAUCAUCUUCCUAUCCUUUUACCUUUCACUUUUUGUUUAAUCUUUUUUCCUCUCUUCUUAACCUCUCCUUGUUUUCCCUCAUAAGGUUAUCUUAAUUUCCUCCAUCAAGUUACGUCAGGUUUUUAUAUACCAAAGGAAUUUAAUCUCUCAGCUAUCAUCCAUUUCAUUUGGACUCAUGAUAAACUGGAAUAACCAAUGUCCCUACGAUUGCUGAGUAUCAAAUUCCGGAAAUAAAAAAGCCAAAAAUGGAUACACAACAAAUGGAGUGAAAACUGUUCAUUAUUGAUUGCCAAUUGAAAAAUUUGAAUCCUUAAACAAAUCUCAAAAGGAUGAUGUUGCUGUUAGUCCAAUUUUUCACCAACACCUCUUCAAAUUUUUCGUGAUUAUAAUAAUUUAAUCUUAAAUUAACUGAUUAUAGUUAAUAAGAGAGUGCAAAAGUGAAGACGAAUCAUGAAGGGAAGGUAAAAAAAGGAGAAAUAAUUUUUUUUCUUUCAAAACACUUGUUCAUCCACUGAACACUAUUUGAUUUUAAUGAUGAACCAUAGUUUUCCGGUUGAUGAAUUGAACACUCCCACUCGUUGAUAAGUUUCCAGAAAUUAUCAUCACCAUCAUGGCUACUGUUGAUUCAUUUUAUGAUUGGUAAUUUACUAAUAAGAAAACUGUUGAUUAUUAAUCCUUUGGGAAACAUCAGUUUCUCUUCCUGUUCAAUUGGAAAUUUACGUUCACCAUCAACAUCAAAACAAAUCAACAUGAAAAUGACCAUCAUCAGCAUCAUCAUUUUGCUACCUUUAAACAGUUGGGUGAAUGAUUGGUCAAUAUGACUACUGGAUUGGAUACUGAGUUAACCAACAAUGGCUCAUAAAAACCAAUGAAAUAUGAAAUGAGGAAGAAAAGAGGAUAAAACGAAGAAGACAAAACAAGUUUAAAAACAGAUUACUCAUGUAAAUAAAGGUAAAACUGGUUCCAGGAUAAAAUUGAAAACAAUGAGACAUUACAGUUGAAUAUGCUUUACAUUCAGAAGGGACAAUCAGAUGAAUAACUUGACUUGUUGAAUAACAAAAUAACCUUUCACAUGGCGAUAACCCAAGGGCCCAACCAGGACAUGCUGUGAUUUGAGUUGCUACUAUCUUUUGAUUAAGUCAUUGGAUAUCUUUGUAUGAAACAGCAAACUUGGACUUGAAAAGGUGUCUAAUUUUUACCAAUGACAAGAAGUGUAGAUGAAAAAAGCAAGAUUUAUUGGUAAAAAAAGGAAAACAGAAAACAGUUUGAAACAAAAUUUAUGUUUUUUAGCAGAUAAUUCAGGUCCAUAUUUUGAAGUGCCUUAAGGUUUUCCCUCUAAGUAGACAUCAUUUAUCAUCAACAUGAUAAACAUUUGAAACCACUGAUUUUCAUCUUCUCUUUUACUUUUAUUCAACUAAUUACAGUUAAGCUAAUUAACCACGGCUUUAAUUGGUAGUCCAGUUACUCAUCUUGUUUUCAACUCACACUCUGUUUUACCGUAAAUCUUGUAUAUCUUGUUUCAUUUGUAAAACAAUUGUGUUGACCAGCAAAAAAAAAACUUCAAAUGCAACAAACAAGAGCAAUUGUAAUAAGUUAAAAGCAAUUGAAAUUACUAUUUUAACUUAUUAAUUGUUCAGUUAUGGUAAACAGAUAACAAUAAAUUAUCUUUACAAUUGCCUUUUUUUGCCUCUGCUUUGAAGUAACGCAAAAGAUAUCAAAUUGCUUCGUGGUUGAUUGUAAAAAAAGAGCUUGGAAGGAAACUGGAUUUAGAACAAUUAAUCAAUGUGGAAAUCAAAUUUGGUGUCACUAUUUACAUUUGAAAAAUGUGUUGAAGGAUCGAUUGUUGACUGUUUCCAAUUGAUGAUUAAUGUGACCGAGAAAAAAACAAUCAAUUUAACCUUGAUUAGUUAAUGUAUUUGGACAGUGGAAUCAAUUGAAUCAAUAGAGUCGAUGGAAUCAAUGGAAGAGUCUGUGAAUAUCUGAUUCGGAAAGGAUAAACAUUGAGUUAUUCAUGUGAGAUCACCAGAUGAUGAUCACAUCGAUGCAGACUGUCAAUGUAAAUAUCAAUGAAUCAACGUCAAUAUAGAUGAUAAUGAGAUUGCCAAUGAAUCUUGGAAAAUUUGAUUGCCAAGAUGAUUGAAUGUACCAACAAUUUUGAUUCUAAAAGAUUAGGUUUUAACAUAUUUUUAAGCUUCUUUGAAUUACCUUUGAAAAAAAUACUAGAAAAGGUGAGAAAAGCUUGUUCGAUGAAGCUAAUAAUAGUGAUAAAUAAUAAUGUAAGGAAUGUAUUAUAUCAAAGGAGAAAGGUUAAGUACAAGAGGGUCAAAUGAAGUAAGGUCACGGAGUUACCAAUAGAUGUAAAGACUGAAUAGGAUUUUUGCUCUUCGCCUGGUGAAAACCUUUUCUUCAACAGGUUGGAGGAAAAAUUUCCAGGGUCCAAGUUGAAUCAUGAGGAUGAUGGAGAUGAUGAGGGUUUGAUAAACAAGUUGAUAGAGUGAAAAAGAUUGAAAGAUUGUUUUGUGAUAAUCUCUAUCAUUUUAAUUCUCCCUCAUCAUGUAUUGGUCAUUAUCAUCAUCAUUGAUGGCUUAAAUCUAGUCGAUGAAGCUUCUUACAAAAAGUAGUUCUUACCUAGUAAUAGUAGUCAGUGAAGUUGGGAGAGAAACUAACCAAUGAUACGGAAAAAGUAGUUAGGAUGAUGAUGAUGAUAAUAAUGGUGAAGAUGGAAGAGUGUAAACCGCAAUUGUAAGCGUUUUUUGGCAACUAAAAUAAAUAACUGGGUGCUACAAUCAAACCAAUUCACAACCAAUCAUUACAAUCACAUUUCAUGUCAAAAAAUCUUCUACCAUCAGAAAAGGGCUUCUCAAAGAUGUUACAUUGAACAUGUUACGAUGAGAAGCAAGGCUUUUAGGUGUUUGGAUAAAUUUUAAACUUAAUCAACUGAUUGUUUUAUUCUAGGAGUUAAAUUAUCGUCAAUUAUUGUUCCUUAAUCGUACCAACAAUCAAAGGCUGCAUAAUCAUUUUGCUCCAUUAACAUCAUCAUUGACCAUCUUUACCAUUAAAGUCACUUGUUGCGGUUUAACUGUAUUAUUCAAUUAUUAGGUGAUGAACAAGGGAAACACUUUUAACACUGAAAAGCGCAAUAAAUCAGUAUAACAAUUGAAUGGUCAGUAAAUUGUUGAAAUUUAAUUAAUUGUCUUUUUUUAGGGAAACAACAUUUUCUUCAAUUGUUCACCGAUCUAACUAUUAAUUCAAUUGUCAGUGUUUAACAGGCUUUAUAAAAUGGUCAAUCAGUUGGUUAUGGUUGCAAUCAGAUGAAUCAAAAGCAAUUGUUUAGUUGAUUGAAAAGGAUUGACACCAAGAAUUGGAUUC